AAGGCCCAGACAGCCAGGAUGUUGGCUUAGAAGCAGCCAUCAUUUAAAGAAAGCGUAAUAGCUCACUGGUCGAGUCGGCCUGCGCGGAAGAUGUAACGGGGCUAAACCAUGCACCGAAGCUGCGGCAGCGAACGUAUCACCCAAGACAACUUUACGGAGUUGACGAUUGACGGAGCGAAGCGACGUCAAAGCGUUCAUUAAAGUCGAGUUGGCUUAGGGAUACGUUCGUUGGGUAGGGGAGCGUUCUGUAAGCCUGUGAAGGUGUGUCGUGAGGCAUGCUGGAGGUAUCAGAAGUGCGAAUGCUGACAUAAGUAACGAUAAAGCGGGUGAAAAGCCCGCUCGCCGGAAGACCAAGGGUUCCUGUCCAACGUUAAUCGGGGCAGGGUGAGUCGACCCCUAAGGCGAGGCCGAAAGGCGUAGUCGAUGGGAAACGGGUUAAUAUUCCCGUACUUGGUGUUACUGCGAAGGGGGGACGGAGAAGGCUAUGUUGGCCGGGCGACGGUUGUCCCGGUUUAAGCGUGUAGGUGUGUGUUCCAGGUAAAUCCGGUUCACUUUAACACUGAGGCGUGACGACGAGGCACUACGGUGCUGAAGCAACAAAUGCCCUGCUUCCAGGAAAA
rnacentral:rRNA from 1 species